AGUAGGUUAUAGUUGAUUUAAACUCUUUUCUCAGAAGUAAAAAAAAAAGUGCCGCGGUUUUAUUACCGUAAAUUGAACCCGUGCAUGACUCAAUACCGCUGCAUUGGGUGCAGUAGCGUGUGUGCUUUUUAACUGCAAUAUGCCCAAGGCUUUGAUGCAACAUGCAUCUAUUAUGAAAAAACCUCCCGUCGAACAAAUCACUUCCCGUGUGCUCCGUGGUGCGUGAAAGGGGUACAUUCUUCACGCCCGAUGGAGCAUCAGCGUUUACUCCUACGCCCCAGCCCAGCGUCUGUCUGGACGCAUCAGCUCGUCGUAUUGAUGCGACUACGUUUGGAUAUCUUGAGGGCUGCAAGUGCAGAACUCUGGCCGCUCAUUCGGGUUGGAGCGGUCUGCCCGCCAGGUCUGGCAAAGUCCAUGCCCAAACGUGAGAGUGGUGCAGGUCUGUGAUCUUUCACAGGUUCAACUGACGGCAGGCUCGUGUCCUCCUCCUCCUCCUGCACUUUGCGGGUCCUCGCGCUGUCCAGCUGCUGAAGAAUGCCGCCGUGUCUUCACGUACGCGGUCCCAUACGUCAGGCAGCAUGGCCUCCCUCAUCCUCAUUACAGGAGAUUUGCGGAGCGGAUUAAGAGGAAAUCUUUUUAUAGAAACAACAAAACUUCCUGCCGCUGAAUCCCUGCAUCUAAACUGCGAGAGAAGACUCCAACUCGCAGGAGAAGGAAAAUCGGGAGUCCAAACUGACUGGCGUGCGUUAACACACAGGCUCUGGUAGUUGCAGCUGUGUGCGCUGUGAUACUGUGCCUCAGAGGGACCCGCUGACAUGUUUGUUAGCUUCGGCGGUGCAAAGCACAUGGGAAUCCGUGAUGGGAACGGGGAGCGGCGAGACUCGAUGCACACGCUAAUGGUGAAGAGAGAGGAUAGGAUCACUGCAGGAGAGCAGGCAUCGAAGGCCCUCUCAGGCCGUUUUCUAUGACAAAAUGAACCACACGGCGUGAACCACAUGGUCAUCAUUUACCAUAUGGGUUCACUUGAAGCUGAAAAGUGAUUUAAUAUGAAAAUAAUAAGCCCUUGUAUGCUUGAAUAAUAAAACAGUGGGAAAACGGUAUACCCAGCCAAUAGCCCGUGCCAGUGUGUAUCCCCAGAGUUUUCUUUUCUUGUUUCCAGGUUCCCACAGUGAAAAGCAGUGGCAAUCGAUGAUAAAGAUGGAUGUUAUGACCGAGCUCGCAUAUGAGGAAAUAUGAACAAACACAAA